CGAUCCCUACACACCUCUUCAACCAAACAAGAACUAACACUCCUCUCCUCUCCCUUUUCCAACCUCGUCGCCACCCCGCUUUACCCAUCAGACCAUCGGCUAAAGCCGAUUUCGGCGUGACUGACGCCGCCUCCCAUCAACCCCUGUCCCUUUAUCCCCUUUUCUUCAAGUGACAGAGCUUCGAACAGCUCGUCCAAAGUCGAAUCAGCCCCCAAAUCAAAAAGCACGCGAACAUCUUUGGGAUUCUAGACCGUUCUUCCAACAAUCCAUAGGGUAAAGGCUCGUUUCAGUCCGUUGGAGCAUAAAACCAUGGAGAAUCCAAUAAAUUCGGAGUCCCAACGAAUUUGUAACUUUCAAAUCCAUCUGAAAAGUUCUCGGCUGAGGAAGGACCACUUCGAGCGGAUUCGAAGACUCGACGACGACAAUAGCCUCAGUUCGCUGUCCCGGAGAAGGUCAGUCACCGCCCUCAUCUUUUGUUUCAUUUUAGUUUGUAGAAUUAAAUAUAGUCGCUCGAUUGUUUUAGUCGCUAGUUUCAAUUCACUUAGAUAAAACUGUUGUGCUGAUCUGUUUACCUUAAGUAUAUAUGUAAAAUGGUUAAAUAGGACUAAGAAUGCUUAGAGGAAUCAUCAAUUAGCUUGUAGAAUAUGUGGAUAAAUAUGUCGCUCAUCUGAAUUUCAUUUUAGAUGCUUGUGAGGGGGGUUAGUUUUACAUCAUGUGUAUUGAAAAAGGAUUUGCUAAAAUUGUGUUUUUUUUUCUAUAGAAAUUAGAAAUGUAGUCGUUGUUUAUCUGUGUUAGUUCAUCCUGUGUCUUACGGACCUGUUCUUGCUAAAAAAAAAAGGAAGGGGCAGACGAAAUGGUUACGUAAACUAAUAACACUUAAGAGUAAUAACUACGUUACUUAUCGACUACGUGAAUAAUUGUGCUGCUCGUUUAAAUCCUGUUUUAACCUUUCAGCAAGGCUGUUUGCCAAAAUUCAUCCUCAUAACUAAUUUUCAAUGAACUAGGACUACAUUCAUUUGUUGGUGUGUUCUGGAGAAACUCUCCUGCACAUGUUGUGUCCAUGACUGUUUUGUUUGUAUCUCGAGCAUGUUUGCUCUUUCCACUAGUGCCCUCUCUUCAUAAUAAUAAGCAUCAUAUACACCUUGAAGUUUGAACUAUAGGUAAGGAAUGUUAAUUGUUGAGUUUAAAUGAGAUUGAUGUCAUAAGAUUUCAUACAUGCUAACUGAAUCACUAUUUUCAUUAUAAUUUGUUUCAAACUAGUUACCAUAUUGUUUUCUUUUUCUGGAAGAGAUGUUAUUUCACAUCUGUUUUGUGCAUUAGAAGAACUUCAAAUGUUGUAAGGUUUUUAGUUUGGUUUGAACGUCAUUGUGAACUUUGGGUUCGUUACUGGUUAAAAUUUGAGGUUGCUAGUUUCAGGUAAGUUUUGAAUGAAAAAUGGGUCUGUUUACUUAUUUGCUUAUAUAGAAAUAACAUGAAUAUCUGUCUUAGAUUGGAAGGAACAGGCUAACUGUUGUUUCUGAAGAUUUUUGUCAUAAAUAUUGUUUUGAACAUUAAUAGAUUUUUUUUUCCUUCUAAUUUCCUAAAGUUAAGGUGUUAGAACAGUUGGAAGUUGUUGUUUAUAGCUGUUUCUGCUCCUCUCUUUGGGAUUCUGAUGGCUUAAUUUCUUGGAGUUUAAGAAUACUUAGAACUAAAAUGACUAAGGGCGUUUAGGAAGGAAACCACUGAUUUAUAUAAGUUUGCAUUAGUUGAAACUUGUUGUCGUUGGAACAACCUUAUCGCUUAUAAGUCUUUUACUUCAUUGCCCAAAAGAGGUUAGUGUUUUCACUCUCUGCUCUACUCUUUUAAAUCUGGAUUUUUGAGGGUGUUGAGAUGCAAGAAUAUGUUGCCAGUUAUUUUUUUUAGCCUAGUCUACAUGUCCUUUUGAAGAAAUAAGAUGCUCGAAUAAAUUAUUAAGAGACUCUGUCUCUCCUCUACUAGCAGAUAUCAUGCUCGUUAGAUAUUAAAAUGUGAAUGUGUGUUUUGUUUCGUGACCGUAGAAAUAGGACGUUUUACCUGCUUUUUAACAUGAGAAUAUGUUCACUGGUUAGUCUAUCCUAUUUUCAUGUCGCUAUUGUUACUCCAUUUGAAUAGAAAACAUGAGUUAAUUUACGGCUUUGUUAGUUUCCAUUUUAUUUCCUCCUGUCAUCUCCAUUGCAAAGUAUGAGUUAAUUAGCAUUUCCUGCACUUUUUUUUUUUUUUUUUUUCAUAUUUAGCCUUUCUUCAUUUCUCGCUAAAAGUCAGUUGGUUUAUUAGUCAAUUAGUGUGUGUUAAAAUCUGAGUGUUUAAAGUUCUUGUUUGAGCAGAAAUUCUCCUUCUUCUUUCUUAAUUUUUCCGGUUCUGUUUGGCUGUGUUGUUUUUAGCUAUUUUCCUAUUUAAGUUUUCUGCCUAUUUAAAUUCUGUGUGAGUAUGAGUUAAUGGACUCGAUUUCAUGUUUAUUAGCGUCGUUCUGAUUUUUGUAGGAAUUCAGCAUGAUUAAGUUUACAGGUUUAGAUGUUUAGCUUCCUUUAAAUUUGAGUGAAAAGCAUGAGUUUAUUUCCCUUUGCUGUUUAUUUUUUUUCCAGUAUGCUCAACUCGUUAGAAAAUGUUUGUUUGGUUAAAUACCAGCUUUGUAAUUGUUAAUGAAAUCCUCAUGCAUUCGUCGAUAAGUUUAUGUUAUGAGAUUUAGCUUAUGUUCAAGCUUAGAUUAGUAUGAGAUUGAGUAUUGCCUAAUGUUUCAGCCCGUUUUACUUCUUCCUUUGAGCAUUUUAGUUCCAAAAACAUGAAAUAUUACAAUGAGUGACUUUCUUUGUUCUCCAAGCAUGUUAGAGUUAUACAAACGUUAAUCGCUAUAUAGAUUUUUAUCAAGUUAUGUUUAAAAUUUCCAGUUUGAGUUUCCAGAAACAAAUGUUGCUCUCUUGAUGUAUUCACUAGCUUGCCUUUCUUUAAGUUAGUUCCCUGUUUCCUUUAUGUCUCAUGAACCAAAAGUUCAUUUUUGUGUAUAAUUCUCCAGUAAGCAUAAAGAGACUUUGGCUUAGUUGACUCGUUCCAAUUCAUUUGUGUUAGUUUUUUUUUUUUCCUAGUUCAUGCAUCAGUUUGCUCUUUAGUUUAAUAAAGUUUGCUUAGGGAGCUGUCAUAAUUCAACCAAUAGCUUACCCCCUUGUUAAGCGAAUGUUGGUGUUUGAUUCACUGUUCUUAUCUACUACAUCAGUUUCGUAUGUUAAUUGGUACAUGAGGAGUAAUGAAAACCAUGGAAACUUCUUCACUAUUUUCUGGCAUGUGUGAACUCUUUGAUAAUUUCCUCUCUUUCUGUUUGUAUACCUUUUCUUGUAUAAGUCCUAGAACUUGUUUGGAGUAAGAGCUUUUCUUUCUUUAUAUUCAAAGAGACCUUAGUCUUAAAAAUGGGAUAAUCUGCCAUGAUUUAGGAUCUUAGUCUCUUUCAGAUCUUAGUCUUAAACUUUGGCUAAAGUUCUUUGGAAGAAUUUCGUUUUGAAUUAUGACUGUAUCCACUUCAAGUUAUUUUAAGUGCAUUGAUUGACCUAGACUUGUGUGUUUUGCUGGAAAAAAAAAAAUCAUUCAUGUGUUCUUAAAAAAAAAUAAAAAAUUAUCCUGACUAUUGUAGUCUACUGUUACCUACUUUCUCUUAAAAACUUUAGAAUGAGUAGAGGAUUCGUUUGAGCAAAUGGGAUACUUUCCCUAAAUGGUUCGAAUUGUAUCGUUAGAGUAGCCUGAUAAUAAGUUUUACAGUUUACAUUUCUUUGAGGCAUGGAUGCUAGCUUGUUUCCCUAUUUAUGAACUUUGAAUAAGUAUGUGAUAUGUCUCUGAAUUUCUGUUGUUUGGAAGCACGACAGUAUUGUUUUGAACUUAAAUGAUGCUUAUUUCAUCUAAGAGGUUACGCCAUAUUUAGUUUGGAAAGCUAGAUAGAAGAGCUGAAUGUUUAAGUAACAAUUGGAACUGCAUUGAUCUUCUUUUAAAACUGAUUGUGGUAUUGCGUUUUGAGAAUAUGACACGAGAAAGCCUUGUCUUACAUUUGAUUCUUUUAUCUAGCUUUUAUUAAUUAAAGUCAUAUAGACUUCUUUUUCCUUGUUGAGAAUUGUUUCUAAUCCUUAUCUUUAUCUUUUUUUUUUUUUUUCAUGAGGAACCUUGGGAGCAUUUGGAGUUAUGGCAACUCCGGAUUCUGCCCAUAUCAGAGAACAGCCAGUAGCGGAUUUAAUUGCUCGUGUCUAGCAGUCCCCUACUUUCGCGUCUCGAGUUUCCGCUCUUCCUUUAUUCAAAAUUUUAAGCCUUCAUAUUGUUUGAUACAUGCUAUUUAUAUUAUUUGCCUAACACUCUUGUGAAUUUGUAUUUUUUGUAGUUUUGUUUUGAACUCGUAACUUGACUUAAGUAUGUUAGUAAGUUUAGUCAUUA